CCGAAUUUAAUUCAAAUUUUCCAAUCUUCGAACUCCUUCUUAAUUUCAAACCAAAUCCUUACCAAACUUGACCAAAUAAGUCUUUAAAUCCCUUCUAGAUUUAUGGUAGAGUCGGAUACGAUAAAUAAGGGCUUCUGGAAUAGAGACUCUCCAUGUUUUACAAUCCGUGCUCGUCAACGUGAUAGCCUGCAUAGCCUUCAAUGAAAUUGCCAUAACUCUUGGUACAAAACUCCAAAUCUUGUAAGGUUUGAUCCGUUGGAAAGAAGACUUGAUACCCUUUCUAAAUAUUACCUUUUGAAUCCAUGAAAUCUUCUAUAUUGAUGCGCACAACUCAAGAGCGAUGACUGCCAGAACAAAUGACCCUGUAACUUGCGUUCCUGAUCCUCAUCGUUCUCCCCUUCUUCAAAACGAGUUGUCCUCGACUCUUGCUGAUUGUUGAAGCUUUGGUCGACGACUAAGAUGACGACUAACACACUAUGUUGACUAACCAUGCUGCCGUCCCAACAUGGAUUCAACCACAAACAUGACUUAAAAAAUACAGACUCGAUGACACAACUGAUAACUACAAAUUAGCAUUACAAAUCAGAAACAAUUCCAUCAAAUGUGAAACAAAUCCAAUGACAAUAGCACAUGAUGAGAAUAAACAAAAGUUCAGAACUCAUCCAAUCCUAUUCUAAAACAUCGGUAUUUUCUCAACACCAAUCUAAAACUAAAUCUUCAAUUGCAAAACAAGCUUGCGAAGGAUAAAGAUCCUACCGAGUCAAACCAGAAAACUGAUACCAAAGGAUACGGAGAUGGCCCGAUCUUCUCGACGUAGGAUUGCUGAACAACAUGUAGUGGUAGAAAGAUAACUAUUGUACCCUCUGAUCUCCAUGGACCAGCAAGCACAAUCUUGAUAAGUUGCCAUCGGACCCUCAAUUCCCAGCGGAAAAGUAAGCAUGAUCUUCGGCGGAGUGCCCGAUUCCCCUUCUAUGAUAUGCAUAGGAAGAACAGGCAUGAGACCCUCAUCAUGGAUAAGCACAUAGCUAAAUCAAUUCAUAAUUUGAGUUUAAGGUUACAAGGAUGCACACCCCUAACUUAUAUAGUACCUAAGGGAACCUAAAACCUAAAACCUGGACUCUCAUAAACUUUGGACUCAAUGGGCUGUCAUCUUCUCUUCUAAAUUGCGGUGCAUAUUUAAAGAACCUUGGCUUGGGACUCCAUCUAUCACAUGGGAAAUCAAAUUAGCUUUCCAAAGAGUACUCAAACAUCCAAAACGGACUCCAUACGUAGGAGAUAUGGACAUCUUAAUCCAGGAUUGUCACGCUAUGACGUGGCAAUCCGAAUUUAAUUCCAAUCUUCGAACUCCUUCUUAAUUCCGAACCAAAUUCUUGCCAAACUUGAACAAUGAAGUCUUUAAAUCUCUUCUAGAUUUAUGGUAGAGUUGGAUAUGAUAAAUAAGAGUUUCUAGAUUAGAGACUCUCCACGUUUUAUAAUCCAUGCUCGUCAAAGUGACAACCUGCAUAGCCUUCAAUGAAAUUGCCAUAACUCUUGGUACAAAACUCCAAAUCUUGUAAGGUUUGGUCCAUUGGAAAUAAGACCUGAUACCCUUUCUAAUCUCACCUUUUAAAUCUAUGAAAUCUUUUGUAUUGAUGCGCAUAACUCAAGAGAGAUGACUGCCAGAACAGACGACCCUUUAACUUGCGUUCCUGAUCCUCAUCACGAAUCAAAUCCAACAAGCAUCAUUAGAUAGCUUUUCACUAUCCACUGCGUACCAACCAACUUCCUCUCUCUUAUUGACCGCCACCGCGUGCCUGCCCCUCGCGUGCUGUCCACAGUGACGCUCUGUUUCUAGACCUAGGUUUUCAGAAUGUUAAGUGCCGUCAACGCUAGAUUCUGCACGGAGUGAGUACCCAAACACACGAAAGAAGACGCGGGAAGUCUAAGCUACUGGUGACCUCGUGUUUCUUUGCUACACCAACUACUGGGCUUUUAAAAAUGAAUGGGCUGAUCCCGGCCCAAUAAUGCCCCGAAAACCCAAGGUUUCCUCCGCAAGGUUCGUCCACGGAGGGUGAGUCAGGCCCUAAGAUCAGGCCGAAAGGCGUAGUCGAUGGACAACAGGUCAAUAUUCCUGUACUACCCCUUGUUGGUACAGAGGGACGGAGGAGGCUAGGUUAGCCGAAAGAUGGUUAUAGGUUUAAGGACACAAGGUGACCAUGCUUUUUUAGGGUAAGAAGUGGUAGAGAAAAUGCCUCGAGUCGAGGUCCAAGUACCAAGCGCUGCAGCGCUGAAGUAUGAGCCCCGUGGGCUAGCCAUUGGACAUCUUUGGCACAAUCUAUAUUUUCGUGAAAUGGAUCAUAAUAAAAUAGAGUUUAGGUAUCUAGGGAAGAUUCACUUGGAAGUAACUAUUUCCUAGACACCCAUGCAUGGGGCUUCACGGUUGAAUGAAUCAACUCGAAAAAUCGAUUUUCUUUUACACUUUUGUAUCUCACUCUAUCUUGUUUUUUAGUAUUAUCUAAAAUAACCGAUGAAUUAUGAAUUUUCCAUAACUUAGGUAAGUGCUUUACCAACAUAUGUAGUUUAGUAAAAAAAUAAAUGGAAUUUAACCCCUUCAUGCUUACUAUAACUAGUUAUUUCGGUUUUCUACUAGCUGCUUUAACUAUAACCCUAGCUCUAUUUAUUGGCUUGAACAAGAUACGUCUUAUUUGAAAUGAAUUGAAUGAAUAAGUCAGAAAACAAUAAUCUUUCUUUUGGAUUCCUGGUAUUCUAGACUCUUUUCCACACUAAUUAUCAAUUCUUUUCUUGGUCAUUGAGAUUCGUGAAUAAUUUAGACUAUUAUUUAGAGAUAGAUCGUACCUCUUUUUUUUUAUCCCCUCGAACAAAUCGAAAUGAUUGAAGUUUUUCUAUUUGGAAUCAUCUUAGGCCUAAUUUACGUUGUUGAUUGGAGGAUAUCACACAUACACAAGAUACAGACACACGGAUAAACACAACUUUCAUGCGCAGCACUUGCAUGACAUGACGAAUGCACGACAAGAAGAUUAGCUGCCACGAUAUUUCAUACGUGUCCACCUUUGCCUAUAGGUGUUUGUAACUAAGAAUAUCUUAUAUAAAUAGCUAUCCAAGAUGCAAACUUCC
rnacentral:lncRNA from 1 species